GCUUCUGUAGCUCAGUUGGUAGAGCAGCUCACUCGUAAUGAGCAGGUCACGUGUUCGAGUCACGCCAGGAGCU
rfam:Eubacterium sp. CAG:161 genomic scaffold, scf144